rnacentral:rRNA from 1 species
GACGGGGGGGGCAAGUGUUCUUCGGAAUGACUGGGCGUAAAGGGCACGUAGGCGGUGAAUCGGGUUGAAAGUGAAAGUCGCCAAAAAGUGGCGGAAUGCUCUCGAAACCAAUUCACUUGAGUGAGACAGAGGAGAGUGGAAUUUCGUGUGUAGGGGUGAAAUCCGUAAAUAUACGAAGGAACGCCAAAAGCGAAGGCAGCUCUCUGGGUCCCUACCGACGCUGGGGGUGCGAAAGCCAUGGGGGAGCGAACAGG